rnacentral:lncRNA from 1 species
ACAAACAAAAUUUCCAAUGAGGAAAUGAUCAUAUCAUCUUGUUUGAAUCAAAGAAGUGACUCAAAUGGAGCACAUUGUGCCCUUCUUACUGGCCCAAUUCAACAAUGGACCUAGUCUGAGUCCAUGGGCCAGGAAAAGUAUACCCUAUCAUCUAAGGCACCAUCCUUGGAGAUUCAUACCUGCUUUUCCUUAAUGUGGAUCUACCCAAAAGACUAAAUUAAUGUAGAAAGGUGCAGAGAAGAAAAUAAGAAAGGAGAUAGGCUGGUGGGCCCUGAGCCCAGAUCAAGCUUGAGCCUUCUCCACUGUACCCAAGCUCUUAAAUCAUUGAUGAAUUCAUUUAAUCAAUUAUAUAUAUAUAUAUAUAUAUAUUUUGUGGGUGACUCAGUCCAUCAACUGGAUCUGACUAGUGUAGGUUCAUAUUUUCUCACAUCUGAAGGCAAAAUCACAUUUCAAAAGGAAACAUUAAGGCCAUGUUUGGCACAUUGUAAUAGUGGAUAAGAAUGAGAAUGAGAGUAAGAAUAAG